CAGCCGCCGCGGGAAUACGGAGGGUGCAAGCGUUAAUCGGAAUUACUGGGCGUAAAGCGCACGCAGGCGGUCUGACAAGUCAGAUGUGAAAUCCCCGGGCUUAACCUGGGAACUGCAUUUGAAACUGUCAGGCUGGAGUCUUGUAGAGGGGGGUAGAAUUCCAGGUGUAGCGGUGAAAUGCGUAGAGAUCUGGAGGAAUACCGGUGGCGAAGGCGGCCCCCUGGACAAAGACUGACGCUCAGGUGCGAAAGCGUGGGGAGCAAACAGGAUUAGAUACCCGGUAGUCCCUGUCUCUUAUACA
rnacentral:rRNA from 1 species